CCCACCGGCCUUCAUCCGGGUCGUUGGGUCAGCUGAUCACAACACGGAAGUGGUUGUAGUGGUGAGGCUGUCAGCAGCUGGAGUCUCUUUUACCGGAUUUAUCGAUCGAUUGAUUGAAUGAUCGGUUUACGGUGAACUGAUCGAUACAACGGGAGGUUAACGGCUGAGACUGGUUGUCUGUCACUUUCAUAUUCAUUAACAUUAAAGGUGACACUGGAUCUGACUUCCUCGUGUCCUCCAGCAGGGGGCGCAGCGGGGCUGCAGGCCGACCAUGGUGAAGGUGUUUCGCUGUGCGGCCCGUCACGGCUACGCUGUGGAAGUGUCUCCGUUCAUCCCCAACAGGGUGGCCUGCACCGCCUCCCAGUACUACGGCAUAGCUGGCUGUGGCACUCUGCUGGUCCUGGAUCAGACUGAGACUGGAGUCACUCUGGUGAGGAGCUGGGAGUGGAGUGACGGUCUGUUCGAUGUAGCGUGGAGCGAAUCCAACGAGCAUCUCAUGGUCGCCGGGGGCGGGGACGGCAGCUUGCAGCUGUGGGACACAGCCAAUCACAGCGCUCCGCUGAGAGUGGCCAAAGAACACACACAGGAGGUGUACUCUGUGGACUGGAGUCAGACCAGAGGAGAGAACCUCAUCGUCUCUGGAUCGUGGGAUCAGAGCUCUAAAGUGUGGGACCCCGCUCUCAGCCGCUCUCUGACCACACUCAGGGGUCAUGAAGGGGUCGUCUACAGCACCAUUUGGUCCCCUCACAUCCCAGGAUGCUUUGCUUCAGCGUCAGGUGACGGGACGCUCAGGAUUUGGGAUGUGAAGAGCGCAGCGUGUCGAUUGGCCGUCCCAGCGCACAAGGCUGAAGUCCUCAGCUGUGAUUGGUGCAAAUAUGACCAGAACAUCGUGGCCACAGGAUCAGUCGACUGCAGCGUGUGUGUGUGGGACCUGAGGAACGUCAGACAGCCUGUCAAUCAACUGCAAGGCCACACCUACGCCAUCCGCAGAGUCAAGUUUUCUCCGUUCAGUAAGACUCUGUUGGCGUCCUGCUCGUACGACUUCACUGUCAGGUUCUGGGAUUACAGUAGGACCCAGCCUCUUCUGGACACUGUGGAGCAUCACUCAGAGUUUGUCUGCGGACUCGACUUCAACCUGCAUGUCCCCAACCAGACGCCGUGUGGACCCUCAACCCCCCCAGAGGAGAAAAUCCAGAGCACAGAGGGGAAAGUGACAACCAGCAGAGUUCAGCUAUAUAUCACUGGAUACAUGCGUGGGAAACAGUGACAGAAAGCAUCCGGGGUCGACGCUGCGAUUGGGAAAUGAGUGUUGAAUUUACAGAAGGAAACUGAGGUCAUCACUCAUACGUUACAGCCUCAUUUUGAAACAUCUGGUGGUGGACUGUUCCUGGGACGAGACGGUGAAGAUCUACACUCCUGCCUGUCUGUCUGCUGGAACGCACGGCGCAGCGUCGUAGAAGAAGGGCUUCCCCGAACCCACUGCUUCCCAAACUGUUUCUGUCGGUUCCCUUUUUGUGGAUAAAGUUAUUUCUCAGAGCAUAAAAAACAUUUACUUAACUCACUUUUUGCUAAAUAAUAUUUCCAUUCCCUGGAGACUUAUCCGAACCACAGACCCAAAUAUCUUUUUCCAGAUGGGAGAAAUUGUUUCCAUCCCCAAUUAAAGCUGCAGUAGGUGACACUGAUAAAAAUAUAUUUGUCAUAUUUGCUGAAAUUUUCACUACAUCCUGACAGUCGAACAUGAGACAGAUAUUCUGUGAAAAUAUCAGGUUCCUCUGGUUCCUCUGGUUCCUCCUGAUGGGAUUAUCUGGGAAUGAGACUCAACAGUCAACUGUCCUUACAAUAUUUUUAUAACCUACUGCAGCUUUAACCCCCGAUCUUUGGUCUGAAAUGUAUCCCCGAAGACAGACCUAACCCUGACCAGGUCGCAUUAGGACUGGGUCUUUAGCCCCCGACCUGUCCCCACAAGGUCAGAGUGUAUACUGCGACAGGUCCCCAAUAAGUAACAAAAACACGUUCACACGCACACAUAUUUUUUGAAUUUCCAUCAUUAUUUGAAACAUUUUGAUUGAAUAUGAAGUUUCAGGGAGAAAGAGCAUUAAGUGUCACAUCACACAGCUGAUCAGGGCUGGGCAAUUGAGCGGGCAGUGGGGCAAGAGCCACCCCAUUAUCCCUGUCCUAAGGUUAGAGAGAACAUACUGCUUUCAUAUGAAACCAGAUCUAACAAAUCCAUCAGUACCAACCAUGCCAUGCUAGCAUGUCGGCAACGCGCCAAAGUUAGCCUAGAGUGUGGCGACGGAAAAAGUGGUAUGGCCAUUUUCAAAGAGAGGAAAGAAAGAAAUUUAAAAAAGGGUUUUUUCUUUCUUUCUAUGAAACAUCAGAUGUGUUUAUGUGUGUUCUGAAGUCUGAACCCUGGAAUCAACAGUUCACCUCCUCGUUAUAAAUACUGACUCUUAUCAGCAGCAGCUCUGGGAACCUUCCACCUGUUUAAUGAGAACUCUCUCACACUCACAGAGGAGAUCCAAUCAAUGAUCUUUCAUUUACUCUGAAGACAACAAGUACAUUGUGUCAGCUCCUGUAACAGCAUGAAAUAAAGUCUCUGCUUAGUGUUGUGUUCACUUUACUGUGAAUGAUACAGUGAUGUUUAUAAAUCUAUUACGUCCUAUAAUGAUCUAUAAUAUCUUUAAUGUCUGCGUCUGUUCUUUCGUUUAUUCUGUUUAAGACUAAAUGUCAGCUGUGAGUGAUGUGAAAUGUCAGUGCCUUUAAUAAAGAUCAAUAUCAGCAACAGAAA